GUGCCAGCAGCCGCGGUAACACGUAGGGAGCGAGCGUUGUCCGGAUUUAUUGGGCGUAAAGAGCUCGUAGGCGGUUUCGUAAGUCGGAUGUGAAAACUCAGGGCUCAACCCUGAGACGCCAUCUGAUACUGCGAUGACUAGGAUACGGUAGAGGUGAGUGGAAUUCCGAGUGUAGCGGUGAAAUGCGUAGAUAUUCGGAGGAACACCAAUUGCGAAGGCAGCUCACUGGGCCGCUAUCGACGCUGAGGAGCGAAAGCUAGGGGAGCAAACAGGAUUAGAUACCCCGGUAGUCCG
rnacentral:rRNA from 1 species